GCACGGGUGAGUACACGGUGAAUAAUCUACCUCCGAGUGGGGAAUAACUGAGAGAAAUCUUAGCUAAUACCGCAUAGCACUUACGAGUCAGAGCAGCAAUGCGCUUGGAGAGGAGUUCGCGGCCGAUUAGUUAGUUGGCGGGGUAAUGGCCCACCAAGACGAUGAUCGGUAUCCGGCCUGAGAGGGCGCACGGACACACUGGAACUGAAACACGGUCCAGACUCCUACGGGAGGCAGCAGUGGGGAAUUUUGGCGCAAUGGGGGAAACCCUGACGCAGCAACGCCGCGUGGAGGAUGAAGUAUCUUGGUACGUAAAACUCCUUUCGAUAGGGAAGAUAAUGACGGUACCUAUAGAAGAAGCCCCGGUUAACUUCGUGCCAGCAGCCGCGGUAAUACGAAGGGGGCUAGCGUUGUUCGGAAUUACUGGGCGUAAGCGCGUGUAGGCGGGCUUUUAAGGUCAGGGGUGAAAUGCCGAGGUUCAACUCGGAAUUGGCUUUGAUACUGGAAGUCUUGAGUCCGGGAAAAAGGUGAGUGGAACUGGAGUGUAAGGUGAAAUUCGGAGAAUUUUCGGAAAGAACACCAAGU
rnacentral:rRNA from 1 species